rnacentral:rRNA from 1 species
UGGGGAAUAUUGCACAAUGGGCGCAAGCCUGAUGCAGCCAUGCCGCGUGUAUGAAGAAGGCCUUCGGGUUGUAAAGUACUUUCAGCGGGGAGGAAGGUGUUGUGGUUAAUAACCACAGCAAUUGACGUUACCCGCAGAAGAAGCACCGGCUAACUCCGUGCCAGCAGCCGCGGUAAUACGGAGGGUGCAAGCGUUAAUCGGAAUUACUGGGCGUAAAGCGCACGCAGGCGGUCUGUCAAGUCGGAUGUGAAAUCCCCGGGCUCAACCUGGGAACUGCAGCCGAAACUGGCAGGCUUGAGUCUUGUAGAGGGGGGUAGAAUUCCAGGUGUAGCGGUGAAAUGCGUAGAGAUCUGGAGGAAUACCGGUGGCGAAGGCGGCCCCCUGGACAAAGACUGACGCUCAGGUGCGAAAGCGUGGGGAGCAAACA